UCUGUCUAUCUGUCUGUCUAUGUGUCUGCCUGUCUGUCUGUCUAUCUUAUAGAUAGAUAGAUAGAUAGACAAACAAACAGACAGACAGACAGGCAGACACAUAGACAGACAGAUAGACAGACAGA
rnacentral:pre_miRNA from 1 species